rnacentral:lncRNA from 10 species
CUCCAGGAGGAAAGUGGCAGCUAUUUUUAUUUGCCUGGGACUCAUGUCUUCCACUAUUUUGUGUCUCCACAACCUGACAAAUACUGCACAGAGUAGGUACUAACAAAGCCCUUUAUUGGUGAUGACAUGAUGCUGCAUCUUGCUUUCACUGAAGACAAUGCCUUCCAGUGGCAUCCUUGUAGAUAAACUAUGGAAGUCUAGGAAGGAUGACAGUAUCCUCUGGUGGGUGUCAAGCUGCUUGAACAAUGGAACUUGGCAAGUGUUAAACGGCUAGGUAGAUGCAAAGGUGGAGAGCCAACCUUCCUGGUCGUGCAUUUUCUUCCUCAGCAUCAAUGAUUUGGGUCAAGACACAGAGAGUAAGCUUAACUAAUUGUCAGGCCUCUGAGCCCAGGCCAGGCCAUCAUAUCCCCUGUGACCUGCACGUAUACAUCCAGAUGGCCUGAAGCAACUGAAGAUACACAAAAGAAGUGAAAAUAGCCUUAACUGAUGACAUUCCACCAUUGUGAUUUGUUUCUGCCUCACCCUAACGAAUGUAUUUUGUAAUCUCCCCCACCCUUAAGAAGGUUCUUUGUAAUUCUCCCCACCUUUAAGAAUGUACUUUGUUGAGAUCCGCCCCCUGCCCACAAAACAUUGCUCCUAACUCCACCGCCUAUCCCAAAACCUGUAAGAACUAAUGAUAAUCCCACCACCCUUUGCUGACUCUCUUUUCAGACUCAGCUCGCUUGCACCCAGGUGAAAUAAACAGCCUUGUUGCUCACACAA